AUUGAACGCUGGCGGAAUGCUUUACACAUGCAAGUCGAACGGCAGCACGGACUUCGGUCUGGUGGCGAGUGGCGAACGGGUGAGUAAUGUAUCAGAACGUGCCCAGUCGUGGGGGAUAACGUAGUGAAAAUUACGCUAAUACCGCAUACGAUCUAUGGAUGAAAGCGGGGGAUCGCAAGACCUCGCGCGAUUGGGGCGGCCGAUAUCAGAUUAGGUAGUUGGUGGGGUAAAGGCCCACCAAGCCAACGAUCUGUAGCUGGUCUGAGAGGACGAGCAGCCACACUGGAACUGAGACACGGUCCAGACUCCUACGGGAGGCAGCAGUGGGGAAUUUUGGACAAUGGGCGAAAACCUGAUCCAGCCAUUCCGCGUGCGGGAUGAAGGCCCUCGGGUUGUAAACUGCUUUUGUACAGAACGAAAAGGUUUCUACUAAUACUAGGAGCUCAUGACGGUACUGUAAGAAUAAGCACCGGCUAACUACGUGCCAGCCGCCGCCGUAA
rnacentral:rRNA from 1 species